GACGAACCGUGCGAACGUUGUUCGGAAUCACUGGGCUUAAAGGGCGCGUAGGCGGCCCGCCGCGUCCGGGGUGAAAUCCUCCCGCUCAACGGAAGAACGGCCUCGGAUACGGGCGGGCUGGAGGGGGGUAGGGGCAGGCGGAACUGUGGGUGGAGCGGUGAAAUGCGUUGAGAUCCACAGGAACUCCGGUGGCGAAGGCGGCCUGCUGGACCCCACCUGACGCUGAGGCGCGAAAGCCAGGGGAGCGAACGGG
rnacentral:rRNA from 1 species